GACGAACGCUGGCGGCGUGCUUAACACAUGCAAGUCGAACGGAAAGGCCCUGCUUUUGUGGGGUGCUCGAGUGGCGAACGGGUGAGUAACACGUGAGUAACCUGCCCUUGACUUUGGGAUAACUUUAGGAAACUGGGGCUAAUACCGGAUAGGAGCUCCUGCUGCAUGGUGGGGGUUGGAAAGUUUCGGCGGUUGGGGAUGGACUCGCGGCUUAUCAGCUUGUUGGUGGGGUAGUGGCUUACCAAGGCUUUGACGGGUAGCCGGCCUGAGAGGGUGACCGGCCACAUUGGGACUGAGAUACGGCCCUGACUCCUACGGGAGGCAGCAGUGGGGAAUAUUGCACAAUGGGCGGAAGCCUGAUGCAGCAACGCCGCGUGCGGGAUGACGGCCUUCGGGUUGUAAACCGCUUUCGCCUGUGACGAAGCGUGAGUGACGGUAAUGGGUAAAGAAGCACCGGCUAACUACGUG
rnacentral:rRNA from 1 species